UACGUAGGGGGCAAGCGUUGUCCGGAAUUAUUGGGCGUAAAGAGCGCGUAGGCGGUCCGGUAAGUCGGUUGUGAAAGUCGGGGGCUCAACCCUCGGAUGCCGAUCGAUACUGUCGGGCUAGAGUCCGGAAGAGGCGAGUGGAAUUCCUGGUGUAGCGGUGAAAUGCGCAGAUAUCAGGAGGAACACCGAUUGCGAAGGCAGCUCGCUGGGACGUCACUGACGCUGAGACGCGAAAGCGUGGGGAGCAAACAGG
rnacentral:rRNA from 1 species